rnacentral:misc_RNA from 1 species
AAGUCGUAACAAGGUUUCCGUAGGUGAACCUGCGGAAGGAUCAUUACAAAUCGUGGGAUGUCUCUCCUUACCGAGAUGACAGCCCUUAUAUGUUCGGGGCAGCAAUGCUUCGUGACAUUUACGCUUGUAUGUUUGACAAAGUUAGAUGUGAUUUAAUAAAGACAACUUUUAACAAUGGAUCUCUUGGCUCUU